ACCUUAACUAUUAAAAGUUUCGUUUUGGUCCUUUAACUUACUUUUUGGUCCCUUAACUCAUCCUCUGUCAACCACUUUGGUCCUUUAUGUUAGGAUGAAUGUAUUAGAGUUAAGGGACCAAAAUGAAACCAAAAAAUAAGUUAAGGGACCAAAACGAAACCAAAAAGUAAGUUAAAGGACCAAAACGAAACUUUUAAUAGUUAAGGGACCAAAAUGAAACCAAAAAAUAAGUUAUGGGACCGAAACGAAACUUUUAAUAGUUAAGGAA
rnacentral:pre_miRNA from 1 species